CUCAUAGCUCAGUUGGUAGAGCACUGGACUUUUAAUCCAGGUGUCCCGGGUUCGAACCCCGGUG
rnacentral:tRNA from 1 species